rnacentral:rRNA from 1 species
UGUGAACUUACCAUUGUUGCCUCGGCAGAACCUACCCGGUACCUACCCUGUAACGACCUACCCUGUAGCGAGUUACCCGGGAACGGCCUACCCUGUAGCGCGCUGCCGGUGGACUUCUAAACUCUUGUUAUUUAUUGUAAUCUGAGCGUCUUAUUUUAAUAAGUCAAAACUUUCAACAACGGAUCUCUUGGUUCUGGCAUCGAUGAAGAACGCAGCGAAAUGCGAUACGUAAUGUGAAUUGCAGAAUUCAGUGAAUCAUCGAAUCUUUGAACGCACAUUGCGCCCAUUAGUAUUCUAGUGGGCAUGCCUGUUCGAGCGUCAUUUCAACCCUUAAGCCUAGCUUAGUGUUGGGAGUCUACUGUAUUGUAGCUCCCCAAAUCCAACGGCGGAUCUGUGGUAUCCUCUGAGCGUAGUAAUUUUUUUCUCGCUUUGGCUAGGUGCUGCAGCUCUCAGCCGCUAAACCCCCCAAUUUUUUAAUGGUUGACCUCGGAUCAGGUAGGAAUACCCGCUGAACUUAAGCAUAUC